CUGGGUUGGAUGAGUGGCGAACGGGUGAGUAACACGUGAGUAACCUGCCCCCUUCCUUUGGGAUAACGGUCGGAAACGGCUGCUAAUACCGGGUAUUCACUGUCCUUCGCAUGGGGGGUGGUGGAAAGGUUUUUUUCUGGUGGGGGAUGGGCUCGCGGCCUAUCAGCUUGUUGGUGGGGUGAUGGCUUACCAAGGCUUUGACGGGUAACCGGCCUGAGAGGGUGACCGAUCACAUUGGGACUGAGAUACGGCCCAG
rnacentral:rRNA from 1 species